CAACCUGAGCUCAGUCGUGAUUACCCGCCGAACUUAAGCAUAUCAUUCAGCGGAGGAAAAGAAACUAACUGGAUUCCCCAAGUAAUGGCGAAUGAAAGGGGAAGAGCCCAGCGCUGAAUCUCUCGGUCUUAGGCCGCUGAGAACUGUAGCGUAUAGGUGUGACUGUCCUGCUAUAUUGCAUUUCCGAAGUCUCUUUGAUAGGGGCCAACAUCCAGAGAGGGUGCGAGACCUGUACGGAAAGUAGUAUAGUUGGUAUGGUUACUCCUUGGAGUCGGGUUGCUUGAAAGUGCAGCCUAAAGUUGGUGAUAAACUUCAUCUAAGGCUAAAUAUCGACGCGAAAUCGAUAGCAAACAAGUACCGUGAGGGAAAGUUGCAAAGAACUUUGAAGAGAGAGUUCAAGAGAACGUGAAAUCGCUGAAGUGGAACCGGAGAGAGUUAACAUAACUUGGUAGCUAUAUCCUCUAAAGUCGCUUAACUGUGGCUCUGGGGGGUGGACGCUACCUGUUGUUGCACUGACUGCGUUGAUUGUGCUUUCCGAACAGUAUAGUGUUGCCCACUUUGUGGUGUCUUGCUUUCUGGGAGGUUUGUCAUAAUUAACGUAAAGCCAAUUCCCUUUGGAGUCAGUGUGAAAGUUAACCACCUUUCCGACCCGUCUUGAAACACGGACCGAGGAGUGUAAUUUAUACGCGAGUCAAGGGGUGGUGAAAACCCUAGGGGCGGAAUGAAAGUAAAGGCCGGUUAACCGGUUGACAUGGGAUCCGCUCUUCGGAGCGGCGCACCAUGGCCCUGUCUUGUCUGCUUGCAGAUGGGCAGCGGUAGAGCGUAUAGUUUGCGACCCGAAAGUAUGGUGAACUAUGCUUGAGCAGGACGAAGCCAGAGGAAACUCUGGUGGAAGUCCGUAUCGGUUCUGACGUGCAAAUCGAUCGAUAGACUUGGGUAUAGGGGCGAAAGACUAAUCGAACCGUCUAGUAGCUGGUUCCCUCCG
rnacentral:ncRNA from 1 species